rnacentral:rRNA from 1 species
UACGAAGGUCCCGAGCGUUGUUCGGAAUCACUGGGCGUAAAGGGAGCGUAGGCGGCGUGGUAAGUCAGAUGUGAAAUCCCGGGGCUCAACCCCGGGCCUGCAGCCGAUACGGGCAGCUAGAGUUCGGUAGGGGAGACUGGAAUUCCUGGUGUAGCGGUGAAAUGCGCAGAUAUCAGGAGGAACACCGGUGGCGAAGGCGGGUCUCUGGGCCGAAACUGACGCUGAGGAGCGAAAGCGUGGGGAGCAAACAGG